UGAGGAACCCGCACAAACAGUUGUCUUCACCAUAUGAGGAGAGAAUUUCUGCAUUUCAUUUUCUAUUGCCUGUCGCAAAAUGCCACUACACGGUCAUCAAGAUGCACCAUCGAUUUUGGAUGCAUGUAACUUGCUCAAGAUAUACUGAUCUUCAAUAAAAUAUGUGCUUUGUGCUUUCCCUUUCCAUGGCAACCAUCUGACUUCUCGCUUCUGUAUUUAUUUUUGUGCCAAUUUUAGUACCUAACGCAGAGCCCUCGGUUCAAUA